UGGGGUGUGGCUCAGAGGUACAGCGCUCGCCUACCAUGUGUGAAGCCCUGGGUUCGAUCUUCAGCACCACAU
rfam:Ictidomys tridecemlineatus contig071184, whole genome shotgun sequence.